AGUCUAAAUGAGUACACAUUGUAAUAUACCCAUAGCCCCCCACAUAUACACAGAAGGGAGAGAAGGUGUGUUUUCUCACUUGUUUUCUGGAAUAGAGCUGGGUCAUUAUAAUUAUACAGUGAACAGGUUUUUUUUUUUUGGUUUUGUUUUUUGGGCUCAUUUUACAAUGGAGGAAAUUGAGGGUCUUCCUCCGAAUGCCAUGAUCCCACUAUACCACGCCUAUUUCCUCUAAGUCACACAUCCUGUCAAGGACUGAGCUGGUGUUGCAGGAUUUCUUGGUCAGUUCCCUUUCUGCAGCCCUAGGACUGACCUGUCUCCCUGGUGACCAAUGGGAAACCUGAGGGAUGUAGGCUUGGAAAAAUCCAUUGCUGAGGAAUCUGCGAGUCAUGCUGAGUCACCAGCUGCCAGUGAGUUAAGGCCCACUCUUCUCUUAUUACAGAAAAGGGACGUGAUACUUGGAGCGUGCUUAACGGGAAUGAGACAGGAGGCACCUAGAAAUGAACACAGUAGCCAAAUGUGGUCUGAUCAAGGCAGCCAAGUCAUCAAGCACUUAUUAAGCACCUAACCUACAGAGUGCCAGGUAGAGGUCAACUGAAGGCAAUCACCCGAUACCACUUAAAAUAACUGACAAGAUGUUCCAACACCUCUGUUGAGUCAAACAUUCAAUCAAAGACAUUAAAGCUGGAUUCAGAAAGUUCUUAAUCAAUUUCUAAGAAGUGAAAGCCAUUGAGUGGAAUGGAAUGAUGCUACAUAGGAAGUGUAUUGAGAUCAGUUGAAGAGACUCAAUUAUUCUUUGUGGGACUUGGGAAAAAAAAAAAGAACAAGCCAGUUCAGAACUGAACAUUCUGGUGGCAGGACAGUCCAAUGGUUGAAGUAGUUUUAGCUUGAGAAGGAAUUACUAGAUGGAUGGGGAUGGGGUAAAAAAGAGAAUCUUUGUCUCCCUCCCUUAUCCCUUGACCAUAGGAUGACCUUGUGAACUUCCAAAGUUUGGAAGAUUUUGGAUGUCUCAUGAGUGUCCUGGCAAUGUCCCCAGAACAGUAAAGGCUAAUGGCAUCAUCUGCACUGGAAGUUGAGGACAAGUUAGGUACAUCAAGUAGAAAAUUCCAGCAUGCCUCAGGGGAUCUCAUGAGAAUCCCAUGUAAUAGAGAAAAGGAUUCUUAGCAACCAGAGGCUAUAAAUGAUUCCUUUGCCACACAUAUUCUUCAAGCAUGAGCCAAGGGUGUCUGGUAAACUGACUCUCUAGAAAGAAAAAGGUAUAUGGGAUACAGUUUUAUGUGUAUUCUGCAUUAUUGCCAUUUUCUCUAUCCCUUUCUUACUUCUAGACAAUCAACAAUAGAGGAAACCCCAAUUUCACCCUUGAUAUAAGCCUACUUAACUCUGGACUCUUUUUGGACUUGGGGGAGAGUGCCUCCUAUUCGAGUGUGUUAUGAGCUAGGAUACUGGUGAAACCGUGCACACUCAAGUUACCCCCUCAUCCCUGCCCACACAAAUGCCCUAUGACAACACCAGCUAAGACUGUUGUGAUUGAAGAAGUUGUGUAGCAGACCUGGAGCAGUCUGAAUCACUUUGCUCCAAUGUAGACUGAUUUGGGACCUAGCUUUGAACCUUGGGAUAAGGAGCAUGUAAAAACCAUUUUAGGGCUCUGGUAGGAGAGCCCCAGAGACCCCAGGGAAUCUCCUUACUGACUAUUUUCUAAGUUUCCUGAUCUUGUGAAUUGCCUUUUCCCUGAGGGCUUUUGGAUGUUUUUAUUAAAGGGAUUGUUUUUCUGAACCCUCAGCUCCCAAGUGAUCCAUUAAAUCAAAACUGGAAAUUUAACAGGACAAGGGAAAAGCUUUGUACCCACUAUAUCUCCUUAUGAACUAGCCAUUUCUAAAUGCUAAUUAAGUGUGACUGGCUAAUUGAUAUCAACUGAAUACCCAUAGGGGAUGACAGCCAGUGGACUUUGUGAGAGGCAGUAUCAUAGAAAACCCCCAAUCCAGUAGGGUUCCUCCUAGAACUCUUGAGAGGAGCAUUAGUCAGCUUGUCCUCUGGGGAUUUCCAAUACUGUGCAGGUUGGGACAGUGAGCCUAGAACUGUGUUGCUUUUAAUGGGGGUGUCCCAAAAGUCUUAGUGGAAACUCCACUAGAAUUUUUGGGACACUCUAUAUAAGUAACCUUCAUGACUUAAAUUUCUUAACCUCUCUGGGCCUCAAUGGUCUUUGUAAUGUAAAAUGAAAGAGUUGGACAUGAUCAUUUCUAAGGUCCCUUCAAGUGUGAAGACUAGCUUUUUAUGAUCCUGACUAAGCUGAUUAGACUAAAAGUCACCUAUGUCUAUAGCAUGGAAGGGGGCCGGUUGGGGGUGGGAGAAGGAAGCACAACAGAAGAUUCAAGAAAAAAGCUAAGGGCAAUCUCAGGCCGAGUUAAGAGAAGCAGCUGGUCUGGGGCAAUCUACUAUGGUUGGCCUGCAUCAAGACUAUCAUGUUCAGGUUUAGAUGCCAAAUGAAGGAAAGACAAUGUUAGACUGGCGGAUUCCAAAAAGGUGACCUUUAACUUCAAUGUCCUUGGAAUAAUAACAAAAUUUGUUUUGGUUUUCAGAUAAAAAAUGUGAAAAAGUGCAUGAUUAAAGUAAAAUCCUACUUGAUCAUACUGAAUGUAAAAGAAAUGUAAAGGAAAAAGUCUUUUCAGUUCUAUAUUUAGUAUUUUUAGAAAAACACAAAUUGGUGGCAUGUUUUAAUAAGGCAUCCAGAGCAUCUAGUGAUAUAAUAUUUUUGUUUUCUUAGUAUGAAUAUUAUGCUAAUUGGGUUAUGAAUAUGGUGAAAGGCCACUUGAAGAUCCCUUACAAGGAAGGAAAAAUAUUUAGCCUGAAGAAAAGAAGGCCCAGGGUGGGAUAUGAUAGCUAUCUUCAGGUAUUUGAAGAGGCUUCAGGGAGAGAAGAGAUUAGUUUUGCUUUGUUUGGCUUCAGAAACCUGAGCCAGAAGUUGUAGACUGAAGUUGUAAGGAUUCAAAGUUAGUCCCAGGAUGAAGAAAAAUUUGCUUACCAUUGGAACUGUCCAAAAGAAAUAUGGAUUGCCUCAUUAGUUAGUGGGUUUUCCCUCAUUGGAGGUUUUUGAACAGAGACUGGAUGAGGAAGAAGAGAGGGACAGGCAUUUAUUUAGUAUCAACUAUGUGCCAGGCACUGUGCUAAGUGCUUUACAAAUAUCAUUUCAGUUGAUCCUCACUGUCCAGUAAAGAUGUCCAUUUAUUAAAAUAAACUCUUUACUGUUGUAGUCUAAUUUAAGCGA
ensembl:lncRNA